rnacentral:rRNA from 1 species
CAGCAGCCGCGGUAAUACGUAGGGUGCGAGCGUUAAUCGGAAUUACUGGGCGUAAAGCGUGCGCAGGCGGUUAUAUAAGACAGAUGUGAAAUCCCCGGGCUCAACCUGGGACCUGCAUUUGUGACUGUAUAGCUAGAGUACGGUAGAGGGGGAUGGAAUUCCGCGUGUAGCAGUGAAAUGCGUAGAUAUGCGGAGGAACACCGAUGGCGAAGGCAAUCCCCUGGACCUGUACUGACGCUCAUGCACGAAAGCGUGGGGGGCAAACAGGAUUAGAUACCCCUGUAGUCCCUGUCUCUUAUAA